rnacentral:ncRNA from 2 species
UACGAAGGUCCCGAGCGUUGUUCGGAAUCACUGGGCGUAAAGGGAGCGUAGGCGGUUGGGUAAGUCAGAUGUGAAAUCCCGGGGCUCAACCCCGGAACUGCAUCCGAUACUGCCUGACUUGAGUAAUGGAGGGGUAGCUGGAAUUCUCGGUGUAGCAGUGAAAUGCGUGGAUAUCGAGAGGAACACUCGUGGCGAAGGCGAGCUACUGGACAUUUACUGACGCUGAGGCUCGAAGGCCAGGGGAGCAAAAGGG